ensembl:snRNA
GUACUGUAUCAUAGGCAAGGUUAGCACUUCCCUUAACAAGGAUGGAAGUGGUUCUAGUGACCUAUAAAACACAAAUAUAGUUAAGGAAUUCCCAACAACUUUGCAGCACCUAACCACGAUUUUUA